rnacentral:rRNA from 1 species
AAGCCGGUCUCAGUUCGGAUUGGAGUCUGCAACCCGACUCCAUGAAGCUGGAUUCGCUAGUAAUCGCGCAUCAGCCAUGGCGCGGUGAAUACGUUCCCGGGCCUUGUACACACCGCCCGUCAAGCCAUGGGAGCCGGGAGUGCCUGAAGUGCGUGACCGCAAGGAGCGCCCUAAGGCAAGACCGGUGACUGGGGCUAAGUCGUAACAAGGUAAC